rnacentral:lncRNA from 1 species
AGAGGUGACACUGGCGUGUUUCUGCACUCAGGGUGCCCUUCCUGCCUUUUCCUCCCGGACACAGAGUCACAAGUGUGCACAGGGAAUGACAGACUCGGCGUCCAGUGGAGCCAUCCCCUGGCCUCGGAGUAGGAGGCGCGCCCAGGCCAGGCCAGACCACAGUGUAACAGGAGGGAGGAGGGCUUGCUUCUUUCAGGCAAGAAAAUUAAAACGGACAAAGAAAUAAAAGUAUUAAAUGUAUAGGAAAAACUGGAGUUUUUAUGACAGCGAUCAUCUAUAAAGAAACCAAGAGAAGUAAGCAAACAUUUGAACUAGCUCAGACAAGCAGCCUGCUUCACCCGCAGUUCACAAGGAAAACCCACAAUCAUAACGUUAAAAAUAUUCCCAAGCGCCGGGCGCGGUGGCUCACGCCUGUAAUCCCAGAACUUUGGAAGGCCAAGGUGAGAAAAUUGCUUAAGGUCAGGAGUUCAAGACCAGCCUAACCAACAUGGUGAAACCCCAUCUCUACUAAAAAUACAAAAAUUAGCCAGGCGUGGUGGCAGGUGCCUGUAAUCCCAGCAACUCGGGAAGCUGAGGUACGAGAAUCGCUUGAACCUGGGAGGGGGAAGUUGCAGUGAGCCGAGAUAGCGCCAUUGCACUCCAGCCUGGGCGACAGAGCGAGACUAAAAAAUGAAAUAUGAAAUGAAAUGAAAUAAUGAAAUGAAGAAAUGAAAUAUAAAAUAAAAUAAUCCCAAGCUUGGGACCCAGACUCUAACUGCUGAAAUGGAACCCCAGUGUGGAUCAGAACCUGGUGAUGAGACAGGGACACUUAAGAAUUCAACUUUGGGAGCUCAAGGUGCCCUCCAGUCCUCUCCUCACAGUGUGGAAACACUCUUUCCUUCAAAACCUUCAUUUGUACCAGCAGGAAACUCUCACCCGGAGUCAAUGUAAAGUCGUGACCUAAAUAAAUUGUCAUGUUCCCAAACCUUUUCUCCAGGGGACAAUGCAAACAAGUUUUUCACUGAGUCUGACCCUCACAGAUUUUCUUCAUGUAUACAAAUUACAGCCUGACUCAGCGACCCCAUGAAUGCUAAAACCAAAACACUGUCCAGGAAAUGGCCCCAGGCGCCAAAGGCUCCAGACUGGUCUCAGGCUCUCCUGCCCACUGCAGUUUAUUCACUUGCUUCUCACCAACACUGAUCCACUUAGGUAAGAAAAAAGACCUUCAAUCCCCUUUGCUGUUUGUUUGUUUUUAAGAAACUAGCAGAGUUCCUGCUUUCCUUCUGUGGUUAUGUAUAAGCUGGAAGACAAAAAAUUCUAAAAUACUUUAUAUGGAUUUUAAAACUGGCAAGUAAUGAUUCCUUUGAGAAAACAAAGAUAUCAGCUAUGCUAUUAUGAUUUAUA